UGGAGCCGUGUGCGAUGAAAGUUGCAAGCACGGUUCUUAGGGGGCGGGGCGGCGGCAACGUCGCCCUGCUACCCGAC
rnacentral:ncRNA from 1 species